UAGCCAGACUCCUACGGGAGGCAGCAGUGAGGAAUAUUGGUCAAUGGGCGCGAGCCUGAACCAGCCAAGUCGCGUGAGGGAUGACGGCCCUACGGGUUGUAAACCUCUUUUGUCGGGGAGCAAAUUCCGCCACGUGUGGCGGAGUCGAGAGUACCCGAAGAAAAAGCAUCGGCUAACUCCGUGCCAGCAGCCGCGGUAAUACGGAGGAUGCGAGCGUUAUCCGGAUUUAUUGGGUUUAAAGGGUGCGUAGGCGGACGCUUAAGUCAGCGGUAAAAUUGCGGGGCUCAACCUCGUCGAGCCGUUGAAACUGGGUGCCUUGAGUGGGCGAGAAGUACGCGGAAUGCGUGGUGUAGCGGUGAAAUGCAUAGAUAUCACGCAGAACUCCGAUUGCGAAGGCAGCGUACCGGCGCCCAACUGACGCUGAAGCACGAAGGCGUGGGGAUCGAACAGGAUUAGAUACCCGGGUAACA
rnacentral:rRNA from 1 species